AGGGCCGGCUGGUUACUGCGC
rnacentral:miRNA from 1 species